ACGGUUCCCGUAUCAGUCAUUCGGGAACAGAAAUAUGGAGUACAUUGAAUGGCCCGUAUAGCUGGCGUCAAUAUUCCUGAC
rfam:Marinobacterium sp. AK27 ATG5_contig_17, whole genome shotgun sequence.